AACUGAACUUCUGCAAUUUUCACAUUUAAAGGUAAUUAUCUUAUUUUAUUCUAAAUAUCCUACCUUGUGGCCUUUUUAAAUCAAUAAAUAGAGAGAAAACAAAUAAUUUAAAAUUGUUCUUUGGUUUGUUGCAGGUAUCUAUCGGCUUGAGCAAAUUAAAAAUCGAAUUUGGUGACACAAGGGCGACACUCCAAUAUUAAAUUUAUUUAGGCAGAAAAACAACAGGGGUUCACCACUCAGCAAGCUGGUUAAUCAGAGUCGCCACAUAUUCCAAGAGGAAAAGCUAGUGUGAGCUCUUCUAAAGCGAAAGCAGUUGGCCUAAAAGUGGAUGAGACAAAGGCACCAACAAACGACGCAGAUAGAACAACUCCAAUUUGCAGCCAAUAAACGAGAUUAAGCUUCUGUUUCUUCCUUCCACCCCUUGUACUGCGCAUGCGCGUAUGCCUGCUACACAAAUGUUUAUCGGAAUUGGCAUGUCUCAAAUCCAUUUCAAUACUUUGCAAAGUCUAUUAGAGUAGAGGGACCCGGCCGGUUCACUUCAUUAAACUGCUCACUUUGUUAACUCUAGCCUGCUAUUUCGUUGCCGUGUUGUCACCCUUAUUUCAGCCAUCUGCAUGUGAGGAUUUGGCACACAAGGGUUUACAGUUUCACUUGUCGUCAAUCCAUUCAUUGUCUCUCUGUCUCAUAGAAUCACUCACUCCCAUUAUUACCAACUGUUUCAUGUCUCAGUUAUCGACUUUCAUUGUGACAUCCCUCCAUCACAUCAGCGAGAACAAGGGAGGGAUUAUUAGUUCUAUUGAUGGAACCGGGUUGAUAAAUAAAAUUUAGUUGGCUGGUCAAUAAAAUUAAGACUCUUAUUAUGGGUUGAGCUAUCUCAGGCUACUUUUAGUCUGCACCAUUAUCAAUAAUCGUAUAAUAAUCGCUUGUUGGCUCGUUAUGGUUUGUUGGCAUUUGAACAGGCAGCCUGCCGGUCAGUGAUUUUUA